rnacentral:rRNA from 1 species
GCUUUAAAUUCAAAGAAUUUGGCGGUAUUUUAGUCCCGUUAGAGGAACCUGUUCUUUAAACGAUAAAACACGUAAAAUCUUACUUAAUUUUGUUAUAGUUUGUAUACCGUCAUUAUUAAAUAAUCUUGAAAGAGCUAACUAUUGAGAUUAACAGAAAAGUUGAAUGUAUUAGAUCAAGGUGCAGCUUAUAGUUAAGUAGAAAUGGGUUACAAUAAUAUACACAUUUAGAACGAACUGCGAGUGGAAUUAUUUGUAGAGAAGGUGGAUGUAAUUGUAAAAAUAAUUUAAUAAGAUAUUUUGAGAUAGGCUCUAAAUUAUGUACAUAUCGCCCGUCGCUCGCGGGAAAA